rnacentral:misc_RNA from 1 species
AAGUAAAGUGCCAAUACUAACAAUGGUUGAGUGAUUGUGUUAAUUUGACCAGAAAUUCCAAGAAAAAAAAAAUGUUGGGUGAUUUUUGGAUAAUUGGUGUUGCCUAUAAGUUGCAGCCAUGACAGUGCAAAGUGAUCAGUUUGCUUGUGAGGGUUGGUGAGUUAGGAGCUUGGUGGUGGAUGCCAGGACUCAGCCUGUCUUGCAAGAUGAACAGUGUUUCUACAGCAACCUUACCUGGACUUACAUGUGUUUAGAUCACAUGAGAGAAACUUGAUGAUAGUAUACAAGGUGGAGGGGGGCGAGGAUGGGGGCAGAUCAGCAGUUUUGCCUCCGAUGGAACAAUUUUCACACUAAUAUUACCUCAGCAUUCGAGUCCUUGAGAGAUGACGAGGACUUCGUCGACAUCACACUUGCCUGUGAAGGCAGGCAGAUAAAAGCACACAAAAUGGUCCUUAGUGCCUGUAGUCCAUACUUCAGAAGUUUGCUAAAAGGUAACCCAUGCCAGCAUCCCAUAGUGUUUCUUAAGGAUGUAACUUUCGCCAACUUGACUUCCAUCCUGGACUUCAUGUACCAUGGGGAAGUCAAUGUUUCACACAAUGAGUUGGCCACAUUUCUAAAGACAGCAGAGGCGCUUAAAGUCAGAGGACUGGCGGAAGAUGAAAAGAAAAGAGACAGUGAAAACUACAAUGAGUCCAGCUCGCCUCCCCCACCUAGAGACCCCCCUGACCCGGGCUCACCUCGGCCCGAGGAGGGCAGUAGUGCCCCCGACACACAACUCAGUGAUUCACCCCCACCCAAGCGACAGAGACGGCGGUCAGGGGCCUCGGUACACUCUGCAGAAGACACAAAUGAAACGGUGCUAAGUGAAGCCAGGGACAGUAGUGUGAAAAAUGAGCCUCAGGACUUUAAUGAGGAAGAGGACAUGUUAAGUCAGAGUGUGGAGCAUGAAAAUAUAAAGACAGAUGUAGGAGAAGACAGUGAGGAGCGGAAUUUUGGUCCCUCCGAGUCUGUGACGAUCAGCAGGAGUCAGGCAGCUAUGCAGCAGUUACAAGAAUCGUUUGGGUCGUUCCUGCCGGGCAUGGGCCAGAGUCCGGGCUUCCUCCCUCAUGGUGCUACUGACAUGCCAAGACCUCCACCCUACCCUCUGGAGGGGGUUCAAGGCCUUCCUCCUGGGAUCUCGGCUCUGCCGGGCCCUUCCAUGUCACAAGGUGCUGCUAGUCAAGAUGCCAGCCAAGAGAACGACGGUCGCUUAGAGUGUCCACAUUGCCACAAAAUGUUGAAGGGUACAAGUCUGCGCAAACACCUCGAGGACAUGCACACUGUCCACCUCACACCUUACGAGUGCAAGAUCUGUCACAGGUUCUACCGCACUCCCAACAGCCUGCAGAACCACAGUAGCCGCUACCACCGUCGCCAGCGAACCGACUCCUCCGGACCUUCGGAGUAUGAAGCAUCCGGCGCCCCGCCCUUCCCCGCCACCUCCAUGACCCCAGUCGCGGUGCCGCAGCAGUUGUCGUCGCUGCUGGCAGCUGCCGCAGCAGCCCGCGCCACCACGCACCUGAGCCCCCGCACUCCUGGACUGAGCAACGGGGCGCCCCCGCCGCCUCCAGAGCACCAUCUGCCGGGGGACAAAGCCACCUCGUUCAGUGACAUCUUCAACUGAGAUGGAGCACGUGACACGGCUCAAGAAAACCUCGUUACCUUAAGACAUGAAUGGAGGCCCAGCAUUCUGUACACGCCAGUAGAGUGUCCGAUAUGUAAACGCCGGUUCUUCAAUAAGUACUCGGCAAAAAGACACAUGAUUCAGGCGCACGGGGAGAACCGCUUUCACACACGCCCGU